UGCAGUCAUUGUUUCACUUGUGCAUUAUGCAUACAUAUUCUAUUUUACAGCAUAUGCUGUAUACAGUAUUUUUUUUUAUUAUUAUUCUUGCAUGUUCCUAAUGCCUUUAUGCAGUGUCUGUCAUACUUUAGUAAUUUACACAUUGAGUAUCUUUUUUUUGUUUUUUUUUGCAGUUGCUGAUGGGACGCAUUGUAUUAUUGGAUCCUCCUGAAACCACACAGUCUGUCACAAUUGAUGAUGGUGAUGAUGAUGAUGAAGAGACCACAUCUGCUGUGACUGAAUUAGAAAGUGAUGGGAGACCCACAGAGUUGUCUGCAAAGGAGCUGUAUAAGGUCCAUC